rnacentral:rRNA from 1 species
UACGUAGGGCGCAAGCGUUGUCCGGAAUUAUUGGGCGUAAAGAGCUCGUAGGCGGUUUGUCGCGUCUGCUGUGAAAACCUAAGGCUCAACCUUGGGCUUGCAGUGGGUACGGGCAGACUAGAGUGCGGGUAGGGGGUGACUGGAAUUCCUGGUGUAGCGGUGGAAUGCGCAGAUAUCAGGAGGAACACCGAUGGCGAAGG